GAGGACUUGAGGGAACAGUUAGU
rnacentral:miRNA from 1 species